rnacentral:rRNA from 1 species
GUGGAUUAGAUACCCUGGUAGUCCACGCUGUAAACGAUGUGCGCUAGACGUUGGGAGGCCUAGCCUUCCGGUGUCGCCGCUAACGCUUUAAGCGCACCGCCUGGGGAGUACGGCCGCAAGGUUAAAACUCAAAGGAAUUGACGGGGGCCCGCACAAGCGGUGGAGCAUGUGGUUCAAUUCGACGCAACGCGAAGAACCUUACCAGCCCUUGACAUGUCCCGUAUGGGGCCGAGAGAUCGGCUUCUUCAGUUCGGCUGGCGGGAACACAGGUGCUGCAUGGCCGUCGUCAACU